rnacentral:lncRNA from 1 species
AAUUGUCAAAAAAUACGCAAACUUAAAUUUUAUUGUAAUUUUUUCAUGAUUCAAAUUUCAGUCAAAAUCGAAUCUGACAUUAUGUCAACGUGACAUAACUCUAAGGGGUUAUUGCCAUAAAAUACACCAAGUUUAUCAAUUUUCUGGUUUAUAUCAUCACUUUUUUUUUUGCCAGAAAAUACAUGAAUUUAUAAUUUGUUCUCA